UCCUUCACAUUGGCAUUUCCUUAAGGAUAAACAUUUCUUCCUAGGCUAGGAUUUUAUUGCUGUGCUCAUCCUUUGUCCACCCAGCUAACC